UGACCAAGGCACGGAGCUAGUAAGUGGUGAGGCAGAAUUGGAGCCUAGACCGUCUACGGUUUUCGCCACUCAUCCCUGCCACCUCCCUGGACAUGGUCAUGAUGGCACGAAGGAAUGUCCAGGACACAGAGUCCCCGGGAGAUUAUAACAGAGUGUAUUCAUGUGAGAUAUUACACAUAGAUAAGAUAGAAAAGGUAGGUGAUAAAUAAAUGACAACUGGGAAAUAGUAAAUGAUAUGUGAAAUGUGGUAAGUGAGGUCACUAGAUUAAUAACUCUACAAAUCUAAGGUUUGGAUUAUCUCAUUCCUUUGGGAGACAGAAAUGGCCCUCUUGUCUAAUAGGCAGUGAUUGACAAUAAAUAUGUUCUUGUGAAUGUUCUUCCCACUUUCCUCCAAGGCUGACAUUCUAAUUACAUUCUACUUACAAAAGAUAAAUCAGGGUGGGGAUUUAUAUUUCUCUUUCUCAGAAGCAGUGAGAACAAAGAAGAAAGAAAAAAAAACUGACCUCUGGAAAGUCAUGCCAAAAUGAAGAGAGGGAGAAAAUCAAGAUAGGGCCAUAAGAUCUGGGUGAUUUCCAGUAAUGAAAUUCCUUUCAACGAUGGGAUUUAAAGCACCGCAGGAAGUAAUGAACAACUUAGAAAAUGAGGUCGCGGGCCUGCACAGGGUUCACAGUCAGGACAAGAGCCACAGACCUCAACAACACAUAGGUGACAGUGUGAAGCAAAGACACAGCUGGAGUGCUGAGUGACCCGGGAGACCCUGGAGAGAGGCCAGCCAAUGAAGGGUCUGCUCCUUUCCAGGCGAUAGUGAAAAACAACCUACCUCAACAUGCUGAUCUGCAACAACCACAGGACACAAUGUUAGAGCAAAAAAUAAAGUACAGGACAGUGUGUGUCUCUCUGUCGAUUUUAAGUGCACAUCAUAAUAACCCAAGUUGAGAGAAGCUGAGAUCUGGACCAGAGUACAAGAUGGGAAGGCAAGAACACCCCAGCUCCAGAUUCUCUCUAAUCUACGACUUCUCAGACCACCCCGAGACAUCUAGAACCUUCUACACUCCUGCAGCCUUCUGAGCAGCACUGCUGCCGGGCAUUCUCAGGUCACAAAAUGAAGGGCCAGGACACAAAAACAGAAAUGUAACAGGACGUGGGAUGCCUGGAUGGCUCAGUGGGUAGAA